GACGAACCGUCCGAACGUUAUUCGGUAUCACUGGGCUUAAAGCGUGCGUAGGCGGUCUGGUAGGUGGGGUGUGAAAUCCCUCGGCUCAACCGAGGAAUUGCGCCUCAAACCCCCAGACUUGAGGAAGACAGGGGUGAGUGGAACUGUUGGUGGAGCGGUGAAAAGCGUUGAUAUCAACAGGAACACCGGUGGCGAAAGCGUCUCACUGGAUCUUUUCUGACGCUGAGGCACGAAAGCUAGGGGAGCAAACAGG
rnacentral:misc_RNA from 1 species